GUGGGGAAUUUUGGACAAUGGGCGCAAGCCUGAUCCAGCAAUGCCGCGUGCAGGAAGAAGGCCUUCGGGUUGUAAACUGCUUUUGUACGGAACGAAACGGUCCUGGCUAAUAUCCGGGGCUAAUGACGGUACCGUAAGAAUAAGCACCGGCUAACUACGUGCCAGCAGCCGCGGUAAUACGUAGGGUGCGAGCGUUAAUCGGAAUUACUGGGCGUAAAGCGUGCGCAGGCGGUGCUGUAAGACAGGCGUGAAAUCCCCGGGCUCAACCUGGGAAUUGCGCUUGUGACUGCAGUGCUGGAGUGCGGCAGAGGAGGAUGGAAUUCCGCGUGUAGCAGUGAAAUGCGUAGAUAUGCGGAGGAACACCGAUGGCGAAGGCAAUCCCCUGGGCCUGCACUGACGCUCAUGCACGAAAGCGUGGGGAGCAAACAGGAUUAGAAACCCCAGUAGUCC
rnacentral:rRNA from 1 species